CACACAAGUGCUCAAGAGCCACCGAGACUCUUGGUGGGAAGUGAGGCAUCGACACCAUUUUUAUUAUAACCCUCACUGCUUCGGAGCAGCCUCCCAGGGUUCGCAUUUCGCCCGGAACGACAGGAGUCUGGUCCCUGAGCUGGAGCGGAGGUAGCCAAGCCUGGAGGAAGCUGAUGCUGCGCAGACACCUGGCCGGGCACUAGGGCUCCGUGGCUGGCUGUGCCUGUGUCUCUCCUGGGACAGCGUGGAAUCAAGCACCUGUGGGUCCGGCCAAAGUGGUCAUUUGCAUGAAAUUGGAGCAGGUCCUGAAGCCCGAGGGGCCAGAGCUUCGCAAGGAAGAGUGGCGGCCACGUGGUCCUCCCAGGCAGCGAGAUGUGGAACCACGGCUGCAGUGGGUUCCCGGUCUGAGGCACAGAGCCGGCAGCAAGGGCACCAGAUGGUCCAGACCAAGCUGUCGGAGGGGCUGGCCAUACAGGCUCAGACCCCUGCCUGGCAGACGGAGAACCCUCAGCUGGACACCAUCCCCCUCUGCCUGGGUGGAAGCAAGAAAACUCCAGGAACCCCCUGAACCCCAGAAAGAGGGAGGACCAGGAUCAGAAGGCAUUGGAGCAGGUGAAAGCAACGAUCUCACAUCUCUGAGAGGAUUUUCCACUCGCAUCUGACUUUCUACUACAAUUUGGUUUCCUGUGGUGGUUACAGAGGCUGCCAACCCGGCAGGCUUUGUUACUCCGGGGCGUAGAGAAGGGCCUACAGAGAAAACCGAGCCUCGCCUCGCACCCUCGACCCUGCGUAGAGAGAGAAGCCAGGGUGGUGAAGAGCAGACUGCCUGGUUUUGAGUCCUGGCUCCCCCAUUUCCUGGCAUCUAGCAGUGACACCCUGGCUUCCCAUGGAUGAUGUUGGAUCUUACCUACUCCCACAUCUGCGGGUCUGGCACAGACGGCUCUUGAAGAAAUGGAUGUCUCACAUGUACCCUGAAAGUGACCUCCCCCUGCUCCUUUCCUGGGUUCCAGAGACAGAAAAUCCAGUUGUCCUUACCUUCUCUCCUUCAAAUUAUUCUGCCCUACGUACUGCUGUUCUGCUUUGGAAAGUUCCCUCCCAUCUGUCCCCCCUCCUGCCCCCUUGCCCUUGCCUUGGUUCACACCACCUUCAACUCACCGCAACAGCUUCAAUCCGUCCUCUCUUUCCUCUUCAUCCUCCAUCCUUGUUGCCACAGCGAUCUCACUGUGAACCCACAGAACCCACAGCUGACCACACGGCUCCCCGGCUUCGAACCCUGCAAGGCUCCCCAUCAACCCCAGUACAAAGUCAGGCUCCCUACGGUGACAUUGGAAGUCCUGCCCAAUUAUCUUCACCCUGCACCCCUCUCCUCCCCAUCCAGAACUUCUGACACAUUUCAUGCCCUUCCCUGAACACACUACAUCCUUUCUUGUCCCCAGAUUUUCUCCUGGAACUGUCUCUGCUUGGAACGUGCCUCCCCUUCUCCCCACCGGAACUACAACCAUCCUUCAAAGAGUCUUCUCAAGACCGACUCCCCUGAGAAGUCCUCUUCCCUGUAUCCUUCCUGGGGGUGGGAGGUCCACUCCCCCCACCUUCAGAGCCCCCAUGACUCCUUUACCUCUUGGCUAACUAGACCAUGAACCGCCUGAGGGUGGGAUCUCCCUCCUUCUCCACCCUGGCGCCGAUGACCGUGUGCUCUGCCAGAAAAGGUGAAUGCCAGGUAGCCCUUCUCAUGCGGAUCCUUGGAAGCUCACUGGCUAAAUCUAGUUUGGUUCUUGAUUAAUCCUUGACCCUUUAGGACAAAGAGGCACCUGGAAAAAAAUCACAAUUUCAGUUCUUUUCACGUGGACAGCACUUCAGAAUUUACAAAGUGUUUCUGGGUUUCUCAUUUGGUCUUUACGUCCCUAUGGAGUGUCGGGGAAGGUGUUAUUAACCCCAUUUCACAAUGGAAAACUUGAUUCAGUUAAGGACAGAACCCACCCCCAGUCUUGGGCAAGUCUGAGGGUCUCUCGGGGUCUCGCAGACCCUCAGACUUUCCCAUCCAAGCCCUCCCCAACCUCCCCAUUUCCCAGAUGAGGGCUGUGAAGCACGGAAGGCCAGCGUCCCUGGGUAAGAAGAGAGAAUGAGGCUUCUGGAUAGGGCUAACAGCAACACCAAUGACCACGACGACAGCUACUGUCCUUAUUGUGCACGAGUGUUCUAGGCACUUUGCUAGCAUUAUGGGCUCAUGAGGAAGGGUUCAUCAUUCUCAUUUUACAAAUAAGGAAACUGAGGCACGGAGCAUUUGAGAGAUGCCUCUCUUAGGGUCUUCCUGACUUCUGGGUAUUUGGUCCAGCACUUACUUUCACAUCACUUUCCCCGUCUCACCAGCCCGACGCCAGGAGGGCACCAGGCCUUCCGACUCCCCUAAGCGCGGGGGGGGCCAGGAGCGCAGCUGGUGCGGGAGGGGCGCCAGGGAGGCGCGCGGUGGGGAGGGGAGACGGGGCCACGAGUGCGCGUGCGCGCCACCUCCCCCGCGGCCUCGCGGGCCCCGCUUCCCGCAGCGGAACGCGCCAGGUGCGCGCCGGUGGCCGCGGCGCGGCGGCUGUGCUCG